rnacentral:rRNA from 1 species
CUACGGGGCGCACCAGUGAGGAAUAUUGGUCAAUGGGCGCGAGCCUGAACCAGCCAUCCCGCGUGCAGGAUGACGGCCCUAUGGGUUGUAAACUGCUUUUCUAUGCCAAGAAACCUGAUUACGUGUAAUCAGUUGCCGGUAGCAUAGGAAUAAGCAUCGGCUAACUCCGUGCCAGCAGCCGCGGUAAUACGGAGGAUGCAAGCGUUAUCCGGAUUCAUUAGGUUUAAAGGGUGCGCAGGUGGGCUUGUAAGUCAGUGGUGAAAUGCUGCCGCUUAACGGUAGAACUGCCAUUGAUACUGCGAGUCUUGAGUAUGGUUGAGGUAGGCGGAAUGUGUUGUGUAGCGGUGAAAUGCAUAGAUAUGACACAGAACGCCAAUUGCGAAGGCAGCUUACUAAGCCAUUACUGACGCUGAGGCACGAAAGCGUGGGGAGCGAACAGGAUUAGAUACCCGGGUAGUC